rnacentral:lncRNA from 1 species
GGCCCCUUCUUUUUUCCAAAUUGCAUUUCAACAUCAGCAAAUGGAGCCACAUGACUUCACAGGCUCGGAGUCGCUCGCUAGUCUUAGCCUCAUUGGAGCAUGCAAGUUCGACCUAUCAUGGAACCAUUCUACAUGGUCCCAAAAUCUUUCCGAGCUCGGCACUAUCAAGCGUGAAAUCACCUUUUCUAACUAGCUCCACCGUGAAGUCUUCCAUGGCCGCUCUGAUUAAACUUUUUUCUUUUCCUCUUUUAGUUUUCCUAUAUUUGGUCCAUCAUCUUUCUAAAUUCUGGCCCAACCCAACUUAGUUUUCUACAUUUGGCCAGUAUUUCUCCAGUUUUGGCAUAAUAUUACCUAUUUUGUUUUUUCUAUUUGGGUCUCGGUCCCCGUUAGGCUUGAAUGGACCGGCCCGGCCGCCGAGCUACACUGCCGUGCUUGGGCCUUCAAGGGGCCCUAUAUAGCCGGGAUUAUGGGGCCCGGGCUAGGCCCGUUUAACUGGGGACGGCCCAGCCCGAUGGCCAGCUAUAACGGGGUUCCGCGGUAAUGGGAAGCUAAUUUUUUUGAAAUAAUACGAAUUUUUUAAUCAUUUUCGAAAAUAAUAUGCGUUUUUCAAAAUUUACAAAAAUAAUGCGGCCUCGGCCCGGGCGAGGCCGAAUGGGC